AAUAUUCGCAAGGAUGGAGAACAUUCAACAGAAUCAGUAUGCAAUCAAGCAUGGAAUGGAUUCCAGAUAGGAAUAUAGGAUUCACCUUACACUCAGAAACUGGGGGAUAGGCCUAGUUGUUCAAAAUACACGGCGUUGCUGCAUGGACUUGAAGAGAUAGUUAUGAAUUUAGAAUAUCAUCAAGUGACUUUUAAUAAGGCACUGUUUUCAGUGGAUGAACCGACAUCAUGCAGUGUGACAGGAAAACGCCCGUGAGACCAAAGAUGGCUUAGAUAAAAGGGAAGACGAUGCAGAAGCCUCUGUACCAGAGAAAAAUCCAGAGAUGGCCCUCAAAGAAGUUAGAAACAAGAUGAGAGACCGUCUCAAGUUGUUUAGGUCUGGAGCCACCUUCCCCCACCCACGAGUCGAAGAAAUAGAUCUUUGAACCACUCCAGGUUACCCGUGACAUCAAGAUAAACAAAAUUCAACUUCAGGGACAAUUUGAUAAUACCUGUUUAAAAUUUUUUUUUUAGCUCACCUGGGCCGAAGGUUCAAGUGAGCUUUUCUGAUCAAAAUUUGUUCGUUGUCUGUCGUCGGUGAAAACUUUUCACAUUUUCAUCUUCUCCAGAACCACUGGGUCAAUUUCAACCAAACUAAGUGACACAAAGCACCCUUGGGUGAAAGGCUUUCAAGUUUGUUCAAAUGAAGGGCCAUGCCCCUUCAAAGGGGAGAUAAUCGCAAAAAUACGGUGGGGUCAUUCAAAAAUCUUCUCAAGAACCACUGGGACAGAGAAGCUGAAAUUUACAUGAAAGCCUCCUGACAUAGUACAGAUUCAAGUUUGUUAAAACCAAUGA